CUUUUUUUUUUUUUUUUUUUUUUAACUUUCAUUUAAGAGGAAUGCACAUGAACUAUUUGAAGCAGUACCUUCCUAAGAGGUUUUGUUUGCUGAUAAAGCUUUCCUAUUCUAGCUGCUUGACUCAUACCAGAGGAGAAGCAUUAAAGAAGACCAGAAGGUGAAAAGAGUCACCCUAACCUAUCCAUGUGUGCUCUUGAAUUUUCCUAAGGAGGGGCACGCGUUGAUUUCCUCAUUGUCUUUAUCCCACAAUAGAUUCUUAGAAUAUGUAUGUCUAUAUAAAAUUUUUAAAACUGCUUGAGUUUGUAGCCAAAUGUAAUGUGGCUUUUUCUACUUGGAACUUUUACUGAGAGUACUUUAUUUGAUUGUUAAGACUUAGUAAGUCGUAGCCAGGCGCGGUGGCUCACACCUGUAAUCCCAGCACUUUGAGAGGCAGAGGUGGGUGGAUCGCCUGAGGUCAGGAGUUUGAGAACAGCCUGGACAACAUGGUAAAACCCCGUCUCUACUAAAAAUACAAAAAUUAGCUGGGCGUGGUGGUGGCUGGAGCCUGUAAUACUAGCUACUCGGGAGGCUGAGGCACAAGAAUCGCUUGAACUUGGGAGGCGGAGGUUGCAGUGAGCCGAGAUCGCACCACUGCACUCCAGCCUGGGCAGCAGAGUGAGACUUUGUCUCAAAAAAAAAAAAAAAAAAA
rnacentral:lncRNA from 1 species